UAAUGUAAAUUAUAUUCAAUAAUUUAUUGAAAACAAUAUUGCAUUUGACAAGAGUAGCAAUGCAUAUAUUACUCUAUUUAAAUUACUGGAUAUAACUUACAUUAAUUCAUAGCAUGUAUUUUUCAAUAACUCAAGAGUUCAUUUUGUUUCACAAACACUGUCCUUCUCAGUGCAGUCUAACAGAAGCGAUUGCAGUUCAUUUGUAGCUUGGCAUCAAUGCUACUGCAGUUCAUAGUUAGGCUACUAAAGUCCGGCAUAUACACACAGAUCAUCCACUCGUCCCGCAGUCAGUGAUAGUGACGCACACUCGUUGCUUUCCAACCCACACUGCACAUAUGAAGCCGGGGGCGACCGCGCGCCCAAGCCGCCUGCGUGCAAGUUCUCCGGCAGCUUGCGCCGACAGGCAGCGUUUCACAGUUCAUGUUCCCACAACUUGUUCCUCCGGUACCCAAAACGCCCACUUUUUCCCCAACGGAGGACACGACAAGCUGGAGGG